UCGAGGAUCUUCGUCAAUGGGCGCAAGCCUGAACGAGCGACGCCGCGUGCGCGAUGAAGGCCUUCGGGUUGUAAAGCGCGAAAGAGGGAAGAAAGGGAAACUUGAUCGACCCUCAGUAAGGACGGGCUAAGUUCGUGCCAGCAGCCGCGGUAAGACGAACUGUCCAAACGUUGUUCGGAAUCACUGGGCUUAAAGGGUGCGUAGGCGGUCUGGUAAGUCGGGGGUGAAAUCCUGCAGCUCAACUGCAGAAGUGCCUUCGAUACUGCCAGUCUGGAGGGAGAUAGGGGUGUGCGGAACUUCCAGUGGAGCGGUGAAAUGCGUUGAUAUUGGAAGGAACGCCGGAGGCGAAAGCGGCGCACUGGAUCUCUUCUGACGCUGAGGCACGAAAGCUAGGGGAGCAAACGG
rnacentral:rRNA from 1 species